CAGCCGCCGCGGUAAUACGAAGGGGGCUAGCGUUGUUCGGAUUUACUGGGCGUAAAGGGCGCGUAGGCGGGCUGAUAAGUCAGGGGUGAAAUCCCAAGGCUCAACCUUGGAACUGCCUUUGAUACUGUUUGUCUUGAGUUCGAGAGAGGUAAGUGGAACUGCGAGUGUAGAGGUGAAAUUCGUAGAUAUUCGCAAGAACACCAGUGGCGAAGGCGGCUUACUGGCUCGAAACUGACGCUGAGGCGCGAAAGCGUGGGGAGCAAACAGGAUUAGAGACCCCUGUAGUCCCUGUCUCUUAUAC
rnacentral:rRNA from 1 species